rnacentral:misc_RNA from 1 species
CUUUCAAUCAACUUGUAAGUUAGCUUUCUCAUGGCAGGAGGGAUAUAUUUUAUCAGAACUCUGGGUGCUGGAAUGGUCACUGAAAAAGGUAAUGUAAAUUGAAAAGAAUUAGAGCUUUGAUUUUAGAAAAGAUGUCGAANCAAUUUUUUUCAGCCAUUCCAUCCCUCUGCUAGUUGUUAGGAGUAAUUUUGGGCUUGUAAU